CGGCUUUCGGGUUGUAAAGCACUUUCAGUGGGGAAGAAACGCAGACCGUUAAUACCGGUCUGUAAUGACGUUACCCACAGAAGAAGCACCGGCUAACUCCGUGCCAGCAGCCGCGGUAAUACGGAGGGUGCGAGCGUUAAUCGGAAUUACUGGGCGUAAAGGGCGCGUAGGCGGCUUUGUAAGUCGGCCGUGAAAACCCAGGGCUCAACCCUGGGACGCCGGUCGAUACUGCUAUGGCUAGGGUCCGGUAGAGGAGAGUGGAAUUCCCGGUGUAGCGGUGAAAUGCGCAGAUAUCGGGAAGAACACCAGUGGCGAAGGCGAGUCUCUGGCACGAUUCUGACGCUGAGGCGCGAAAGCUAGGGGAGCGAACGGGAUUAGAUACCCCGGUAGUCCUAGCCGUAAACGAUGGGUACUAAGUGUUGGCCGAUCGACCCGGUCAGUGCUGUAGCUAACGCGUUAAGUACCCCGCCUGGGGAGUACGACCGCAAGGUUGAAACUCAAAGGAAUUGACGGGGACCCGCACAAGCGGUGGAGCGUGUUGUUUAAUUGGAUGAUAAGCCAAGAACCUUACCAAGGCUUGACUUCUCGGGAAGGCCUACGAAAGUAGACUGUGCCUUUUGGAACCCGAUGACAGGUGAUGCAUGGCCGUCGUCAGCUCGUGUCGUGAGAUGUUGGGUUAAGUCCCGCAACGAGCGCAACCCUUAUGUUUAGUUGUAUUUC
rnacentral:rRNA from 1 species